rnacentral:rRNA from 1 species
CCUACGGGAGGCAGCAGUGAGGAAUAUUGGUCAAUGGGCGAAAGCCUGAACCAGCAAAGUCGCGUGGAGGAUGAAGGUUCUAUGAUUUGUAAACUUCGUUUAUAUGGGAGUAAAUUGGUGAGCGUGUUCGUUUUUGUAUGUACGGUAUGAAUAAGCAUCGGCUAACUCCGUGCCAGCAGCCGCGGUAAUACGGAGGAUCCGAGCGUUAUCCUGAUUUAUUGGGUUUAAAGGGAGCGUAGAUGGGUUGUUAAGUCAGAUGUGAAAGGUUGCGGCUCAACCGUAAAAGUGCAGUUGAUACUGGCAGUCUUGAGUACAGAUGAGGUAGGCGGAAUUCGUGGUGUAGCGGUGAAAUGCUUAGAUA